UACGAAGGGGGCUAGCGUUGUUCGGAAUUACUGGGCGUAAAGCGUGCGCAGGCGGCUGCUCAAGUCAGGGGUGAAAGCCCAGAGCUCAACUCUGGAACUGCCUUUGAUACUGGAAGUCUUGAGUUCGAGAGAGGUGAGUGGAACUGCGAGUGUAGAGGUGAAAUUCGUAGAUAUUCGCAAGAACACCAGUGGCGAAGGCGGCUCACUGGCUCGAUACUGACGCUGAGGUGCGAAAAGCGUGGGGGAGCAAACAGG
rnacentral:rRNA from 1 species